GGCUAUUAGUGAUAAUACCAUCUUAAGGUGAUUUACUUGUGUUGUGAUGCAUUUCAUGAUGGCAUACCUUUAUGAACUGUUUUAUUGUUCUGCUCACUGAGCUUUAGUAGCUCACCCCUUCCCCUAACCCCCAGGUUUGUAGGACUAGAGAUAGCACAGGGAGUCAGCAAGGGUAAUGGCCAUGGUUAUGUCAUGUAAUAGAGUGUUAG
rnacentral:lncRNA from 1 species